GCUCAGGAUGAACGCUGGCGGCGUGCUUAACACAUGCAAGUCGAGCGAAGCACUUAGGAAAGAUUCUUCGGAUGAUUUCCUUUGUGACUGAGCGGCGGACGGGUGAGUAACGCGUGGGUAACCUGCCUCAUACAGGGGGAUAACAGUUAGAAAUGACUGCUAAUACCGCAUAAGACCACGGUACCGCAUGGUACAGUGGUAAAAACUCCGGUGGUAUGAGAUGGACCCGCGUCUGAUUAGGUAGUUGGUGGGGUAACGGCCUACCAAGCCGACGAUCAGUAGCCGACCUGAGAGGGUGACCGGCCACAUUGGGACUGAGACACGGCCCAGACUCCUACGGGAGGCAGCAGUA
rnacentral:rRNA from 1 species